rnacentral:rRNA from 1 species
GAUGAACGCUGGCGGCGUGCCUAAUACAUGCAAGUCGAGCGAACAGACGAGGAGCUUGCUCCUCUGACGUUAGCGGCGGACGGGUGAUUAACACGUGGAUAACCUACCUAUAAGACUGGGAUAACUUCGGGAAACCGGAUCUACUACCGGAUAAUUUAUUGAACCUCAUGGUUCAAUAGUUAAAUUCGGUUUUUCUGUCACUUAUAGAUUUAUCCGCGCCGCAUUCGCUAGUUGGUAAGGUAACGGCUUACCAAGGCAACGAUGCGUAGCCGACCUGAGAGGGAGAACGGAAAAACGGGAAGGGAGAAAGGGUCAAGACUCCGACGGGAGGAAGCAGUAGGGAAUCUUACGGAAUGGGGGAAAGGGUAACGGAGGAAAGCCGGGGGAGGGAUGAAGGGGUUCGGAUGGUAAAACGCUGUAAGUAGGGAAGAACAAAAGUGUAAGUAACUAUGAACGUAAUGACGGUACCUAAACAGAAAGCCACGGCUAACUACGUG